UGGGGAAUAUUGCGCAAUGGGGGGAACCCUGACGCAGCCAUGCCGCGUGAAUGAAGAAGGCCUUAGGGUUGUAAAGUUCUUUCGGUAUUGAGGAAGGUUGAUGUGUUAAUAGCACAUCAAAUUGACGUUAAAUACAGAAGAAGCACCGGCUAACUCCGUGCCAGCAGCCGCGGUAAUACGGAGGGGGGUGCGAGCGUUAAUCGGAAUAACUGGGCGUAAAGGGCACGCAGGCGGUUAUUUAAGUGAGGUGUGAAAGCCCCGGGCUUAACCUGGGAAUUGCAUUUCAGACUGGGUAACUAGAGUACUUUAGGGAGGGGUAGAAUUCCACGUGUUUNGGNAAUGCGNAUAGAUGUGGAGGAAUACCGAAGGCGAAGGCAGCCCCUUGGGAAUGUACUGACGCUCAUGUGCGAAAGCGUGGGGAGCAAACAGGAUUAGAUACCCUGGUAGUCCACGCUGUAAACGCUGUCGAUUUGGGGGUUGGGGUUUAACUCUGGCGCCCGUAGCUAACGUGAUAAAUCGACCGCCUGGGGAGUACGGCCGCAAGGUUA
rnacentral:rRNA from 1 species